rnacentral:rRNA from 1 species
GGAAUAUUGGUCAAUGGCCGGAAGGCUGAACCAGCCAAGUCGCGUGGGGGAUGACGGCCCUAUGGGUUGUAAACCUCUUUUGCCGGGGAGCAAAGUGCCGGACGUGUGCGGUUUGGAGAGUACCCGGAGGAAAAGCAUCGGCUAACUCCGUGCCAGCAGCCGCGGUAAUACGGAGGAUGCGAGCGUUAUCCGGAUUUAUGGGGUUUAAAGGGUGCGUAGGCGGACGCUUAAGUCAGCGGUAAAAUUGCGGGGCUCAACCUCGUCGAGCCGUUGAUACUGGGUGUCUUGAGUGGGCGAGAAGUACGCGGAAUGCGUGGUGUAGCGGUGAAAUGCAUAGAUAUCACGCAGAACUCCGAUUGCGAAGGCAGCGUACCGGCGCCCAACUGACGCUGAAGCACGAAGGCGUGGGUAUCGAA